UACGGGGGGGGCAAGCGUUGUUCGGAAUUACUGGGCGUAAAGGGCUCGUAGGUGGCCAACUAAGUCAGACGUGAAAUCCCUCGGCUUAACCGGGGAACUGCGUCUGAUACUGGAUGGCUUGAGAUUGGGAGAGGGACGCGGAAUUCCAGGUGUAGCGGUGAAAUGCGUAGAUAUCCGGAGGAACACCGGUGGCGAAGGCGGCUUCCUGGACCGACACUGACGCUGAGGCGCGAAAGCUAGGGGAGCAAACGGG
rnacentral:rRNA from 1 species